rnacentral:rRNA from 1 species
GACGAACGCUGGCGGCGUGCUUAACACAUGCAAGUCGAACGAUGAAGCCGGAGCUUGCUCUGGUGAAUUAGUGGCGAACGGGUGAGUAACACGUGAGUAACCUGCCCUUGACUCUGGGAUAACUGCGGGAAACUGUAGCUAAUACCGGAUACGACCCUCGGAGGCAUCUCCUGGGGGUGGAAAGAAUUUCGGUCAAGGAUGGACUCGCGGCCUAUCAGCUAGUUGGUGAGGUAAAGGCUCACCAAGGCGACGACGGGUAGCCGGCCUGAGAGGGUGACCGGCCACACUGGGACUGAGACACGGCCCAGACUCCUACGGGAGGCAGCAGUGGGGAAUAUUGGACAAUGGGCGCAAGCCUGAUGCAGCAACGCCGCGUGAGGGAUGACGGCCUUCGGGUUGUAAACCUCUUUUAGCAGGGAAGAAGCGAAAGUGACGGUACCUGCAGAAAAAGCAUCGGCUAACUACGUGCCAGCAGCCGCCGUAA